rnacentral:rRNA from 1 species
CGAGUAGGCGGAUGUUUAAGUCCGGUGUGAAAGAACAGGGCUCAACCCUGAGAGUGCAUCGGAAACUGGGCAUCUUGAGGACAGGAGAGGAAAGUGGAAUUCCACGUGUAGCGGUGAAAUGCGUAGAUAUGUGGAGGAACACCAGUGGCGAAGGCGACUUUCUGGACUGUAACUGACGCUGAGGAGCGAAAGCGUGGGGAGCAAACA